GGAAGUAAAAGUCGCGACAAGGUUUCCGUAGGUGAACCUGCGGAAGGAUCAUUAAAGUUAUAGUCCCCCGGCCCUCUGGGCUGGGGUCUUCUAUACCACCCUUUGUUUAUUACACCUUUGUUGCUUUGGCAGGCCUGCCCUCGGGCUGCUGGCUCCGGCCGGCUCGCGUCUGCCAGAGGACCUAAACUCUGUUUGUAUAUGAAGUCUGAGUACUAUAUAAUAGUUAAAACUUUCAACAACGGAUCUCUUGGUUCUG
rnacentral:misc_RNA from 1 species